AGCGAGUCUGCCUUGAAGAUCGGAGUGCUUGCACUCUGUGAAACAAGAUACAGGCUAGCGGCGGACGGGUGAGUAACACGUGGGUAACCUGCCCAAGAGAUCGGGAUAACACCUGGAAACAGAUGCUAAUACCGGAUAACAACAGAUGAUGCCUAUCAACUGUUUAAAAGAUGGUUCUGCUAUCACUCUUGGAUGGACCUGCGGUGCAUUAGCUAGUUGGUAGGGUAACGGCCUACCGAGGCGAUGAUGCAUAGCCGAGUUGAGAGACUGAUCGGCCACAUUGGGACUGAGACACGGCCCAAACUCCUACGGGAGGCAGCAGUAGGGAAUCUUCCACAAUGGACGCAAGUCUGAUGGAGCAACGCCGCGUGAGUGAAGAAGGGCUUCGGCUCGUAAAGCUCUGUUGUUGGUGAAGAAGGACAGGGGUAGUAACUGACCUUUGUUUGACGGUAAUCAAUUAGAAAGUCACGGCUAACUACGUGCCAGCAGCCGCGGUAAUACGUAGGUGGCAAGCGUUGUCCGGAUUUAUUGGGCGUAAAGCGAGUGCAGGCGGCUCGAUAAGUCUGAUGUGAAAGCCUUCGGCUCAACCGGAGAAUUGCAUCAGAAACUGUCGAGCUUGAGUACAGAAGAGGAGAGUGGAACUCCAUGUGUAGCGGUGAAAUGCGUAGAUAUAUGGAAGAACACCGGUGGCGAAGGCGGCUCUCUGGUCUGUUACUGACGCUGAGGCUCGAAAGCAUGGGUAGCGAACAGGAUUAGAUACCCUGGUAGUCCAUGCCGUANACGAUGAGUGCUAAGUG
rnacentral:rRNA from 1 species